UUGCAGAAUUCAGUGAAUCAUUGAAUCUUUGAACGCACCUUGCACCUUUUGGUAUUCCAAGAGGUACACCUGUUUGAGUGUCAUG
rnacentral:rRNA from 1 species